UUUGUAUACAAAUUGAAGCAAACCUUUUGUUAUUAGCUUAUUCUAUUAAUGCAUAAACUCACCAUUGGUUAGAAGAUAAUAGGAACCAGAAUGUUGGCCAAACAAGGAACCAAUGAAGUAGGAAUGUCGUGGCUAUGAAUAUAUGAAGCAUAUUCCUAUAUGUGUAGACCAUUUACGAUGUCUAUACUCUAUAGUUGCUGAAGGUUUGCUGGCUAAAAUAGUGUAUCCUCAUUAUAAGAAAACUACACGACACAAGUAAUCCUGAGUAGUAGAUGGUGGCUCAAGUGUCUAGGGCU
rnacentral:lncRNA from 1 species